rnacentral:rRNA from 1 species
GACGUAGGUGGCGAACGUUAUCCGGAAUUAUUGGGCGUAAAGGAUGCGUAGAUGGUGUAGUAAGUUAUCGGUGGUAAAUCGAGGCUCAACCUCGUGGAAGUCGGUAAUACUGCUAUGCUAGAGGAUAGGAGAGGUUAACGGAACUCCCUGUGGAGCGGUGAAAUGAGUAGAUAUAGGGAAGAACACCAAUCAGGCGAAGGCAGUUAACUAUUCUAUUCCUGACAUUGAGGCAUGAAAGCGUGGGGAGCAAAACGG